rnacentral:rRNA from 1 species
UACGUAGGGUGCAAGCGUUGUCCGGAAUUAUUGGGCGUAAAGAGCUCGUAGGCGGUUCGUCGCGUCGGCUGUGAAAUCCCGAGGCUCAACCUCGGGUCUGCAGUCGAUACGGGCGGACUGGAGUUCGGCAGGGGAGACUGGAAUUCCUGGUGUAGCGGUGAAAAUGCGCAGAUAUCAGGAGGAACACCCGUGGCGAAGGCGGGUCUCUGGGCCGAUACUGACGCUGAGGAGCGAAAGCGUGGGGAGCGAACAGG